rnacentral:rRNA from 1 species
GAUGAACGCUGGCGGCGUGCCUAAUACAUGCAAGUCGAGCGAACGGACGAGAAGCUUGCUUCUCUGAUGUUAGCGGCGGACGGGUGAGUAACACGUGGAUAACCUACCUAUAAGACUGGGAUAACUUCGGGAAACCGGAUCUAAUACCGGAUAAUAUUUUGAACCGCAUGGUUCAAAAGUGAAAGACGGUCUUACUGUCACUUAUAGAUGGAUCCGCGCUGCAUUAGCUAGUUGGUAAGGUAACGGCUUACCAAGGCAACGAUUCAUAGCCGACCUGAGAGGGUGAUCGGCCACACUGGAACUGAGACACGGCCCAGACUCCUACGGGAGGCAGCAGUAGGGAAUCUUCGGCAAUGGGCGAAAGCCUGACGGAGCAACGCCGCGUGAGUGAUGAAGGUCUUCGGAUCGUAAAACUCUGUUGUUAGGGAAGAACAUAUGUGUAAGUAAAUGUGCACAUCUUGACGGUACCUAAUCAGAAAGCAACGGCUAACUACGUG